AACGAACGCUGGCGGCAGGCUUAACACAUGCAAGUCGAGCGCCCCGCAGGGGGAGCGGCAGACGGGUGAGUAACGCGUGGGAAUCUACCGUACCCUACGGAAUAGCUCCGGGAAACUGGAAUUAAUACCGUAUACGCCCUAAGGGGGAAAGAUUUAUCGGGGUAUGAUGAGCCCGCGUUGGAUUAGCUAGUUGGUGGGGUAAAGGCCUACCAAGGCGACGAUCCAUAGCUGGUCUGAGAGGAUGAUCAGCCACAUUGGGACUGAGACACGGCCCAAACUCCUACGGGAGGCAGCAGUGGGGAAUAUUGGACAAUGGGCGCAAGCCUGAUCCAGCCAUGCCGCGUGAGUGAUGAAGGUCUUAGGAUUGUAAAGCUCUUUCACCGAUGAAGAUAAUGACGGUAGUCGGAAGAAUAAGCCCCGGCUAACUUCGUGCCAGCAGCCGCGGUAA
rnacentral:rRNA from 1 species